rnacentral:rRNA from 1 species
AUUUUGAACGCUUAGCGGCAGGCUUAAUACAUGCAAGUCGUGGGGCAGCAUGAAUGUAGCAAUACAUUUGAUGGCGACCGGCAAACGGGUGCGGAACACGUACACAACCUUCCUAUAAGUGGGGAAUAGCCCAGAGAAAUUUGGAUUAAUACCCCGUAACAUAACGAUGUGGCAUCACAUUGUUAUUAUAGCUUCGGCGCUUAUUGAUGGGUGUGCGGCUGAUUAGAUAGUUGGCGGGGUAACGGCCCACCAAGUCUACGAUCAGUAGCUGAUGUGAGAGCAUGAUCAGCCACACGGGCACUGAGACACGGGCCCGACUCCUACGGGAGGCAGCAGUAAGGAAUAUUGGUCAAUGGACGCAAGUCUGAACCAGCCAUGCCGCGUGAAGGAUUAAGGUCCUCUGGAUUGUAAACUUCUUUUAUCUGGGACGAAAAAAGGCGAUUCUUCGUCACUUGACGGUACCAGAUGAAUAAGCACCGGCUAACUCCGUGCCAGCAGCCGCGGUAAUACGGAGGGUGCAAGCGUUAUCCGGAUUCACUGGGUUUAAAGGGUGCGUAGGCGGGCAGGUAAGUCAGUGGUGAAAUCCUGGAGCUUAACUCCAGAACUGCCAUUGAUACUAUCUGUCUUGAAUAUUGUGGAGGUAAGCGGAAUAUGUCAUGUAGCGGUGAAAUGCUUAGAUAUGACAUAGAACACCUAUUGCGAAGGCAGCUUACUACGCAUAUAUUGACGCUGAGGCACGAAAGCGUGGGGAUCAAACAGGAUUAGAUACCCUGGUAGUCCACGCCCUAAACG